GACGAACGCUGGCGGCGUGCUUAACACAUGCAAGUCGAACGGAAAGGCCCUGCUUUUGUGGGGUGCUCGAGUGGCGAACGGGCGAGUAACACGUGAGUAACCUGCCCUUGACUUUGGGAUAACUUCAGGAAACUGGGGCUAAUACCGGAUAGGAGCUCCUGCUGCAUGGUGGGGGUUGGAAAGUUUCGGCGGUUGGGGAUGGACUCGCGGCUUAUCAGCUUGUUGGUGGGGUAGUGGCUUACCAAGGCUUUGACGGGUAGCCGGCCUGAGAGGGUGACCGGCCACAUUGGGACUGAGAUACGGCCCAGACUCCUACGGGAGGCAGCAGUGGGGAAUAUUGCACAAUGGGCGGAAGCCUGAUGCAGCAACGCCGCGUGCGGGAUGACGGCCUUCGGGUUGUAAACCGCUUCCGCCUGUGACGAAGCGUGAGUGACGGUAAUGGGUAAAGAAGCACCGGCUAACUACGUGCCAGCAGCCGCGGUGAUACGUAGGGUGCGAGCGUUGUCCGGAUUUAUUGGGCGUAAAGGGCUCGUAGGUGGUUGAUCGCGUCGGAAGUGUAAUCUUGGGGCUUAACCCUGAGCGUGCUUUCGAUACGGGUUGACUUGAGGAAGGUAGGGGAGAAUGGAAUUCCUGGUGGAGCGGUGGAAUGCGCAGAUAUCAGGAGGAACACCAGUGGCGAAGGCGGUUCUCUGGGCCUUUCCUGACGCUGAGGAGCGAAAAGCGUGGGGAGCGAACAGGCUUAGAUACCCUGGUAGUCCACGCUGUAAACGGUGGGUACUAGGUGUGGGGUCCAUUCCACGGGUUCCGUGCCGUAGCUAACGCUUUAAGUACCCCGCCUGGGGAGUACGGCCGCAAGGCUAAAACUCAAAGGAAUUGACGGGGCCCCGCACAAGCGGCGGAGCAUGCGGAUUAAUUCGAUGCAACGCGUAGAACCUUACCUGGGUUUGACAUGGAUCGGGAGUGCUCAGAGAUGGGUGUGCCUCUUUUGGGGUCGGUUCACAGGUGGUGCAUGGCUGUCGUCAGCUCGUGUCGUGAGAUGUUGGGUUAAGUCCCGCAACGAGCGCAACCCUUGUUCACUGUUGCCAGCACGUUAUGGUGGGGACUCAGUGGAGACCGCCGGGGUCAACUCGGAGGAAGGUGGGGAUGACGUCAAGUCAUCAUGCCCCUUAUGUCCAGGGCUUCACGCAUGCUACAAUGGCUGGUACAGAGAGUGGCGAGCCUGUGAGGGUGAGCGAAUCUCGGAAAGCCGGUCUCAGUUCGGAUUGGGGUCUGCAACUCGACCUCAUGAAGUCGGAGUCGCUAGUAAUCGCAGAUCAGCAACGCUGCGGUGAAUACGUUCCCGGGGCU
rnacentral:rRNA from 1 species